UUCUUCGGAUUGAAGUUUUUGUGACUGAGUGGCGGACGGGUGAGUAACGCGUGGGUAACCUGCCUCAUACAGGGGGAUAACAGUUAGAAAUGACUGCUAAUACCGCAUAAGCGCACAGUGCUGCAUGGCACAGUGUGAAAAACUCCGGUGGUAUGAGAUGGACCCGCGUCUGAUUAGCUAGUUGGUGGGGUAACGGCCUACCAAGGCGACGAUCAGUAGCCGGCCUGAGAGGGUGAACGGCCACAUUGGGACUGAGACACGGCCCAAACUCCUACGGGAGGCAGCAGUGGGGAAUAUUGCACAAUGGGGGAAACCCUGAUGCAGCGACGCCGCGUGAGCGAAGAAGUAUUUCGGUAUGUAAAGCUCUAUCAGCAGGGAAGAAAAUGACGGUACCUGACUAAGAAGCACCGGCUAAAUACGUGCCAGCAGCCGCGGUAAUACGUAUGGUGCAAGCGUUAUCCGGAUUUACUGGGUGUAAAGGGAGCGUAGACGGUUGUGUAAGUCUGAUGUGAAAGCCCGGGGCUCAACCCCGGGACUGCAUUGGAAACUAUGUAACUAGAGUGUCGGAGAGGUAAGCGGAAUUCCUAGUGUAGCGGUGAAAUGCGUAGAUAUUAGGAGGAACACC
rnacentral:rRNA from 1 species